rnacentral:tRNA from 1 species
AGUUUCAUAGUUUAAUAAAAACAGAAGAACUGCAAACUCUUUUAUACUUAGUAGGUUGAAACUU